rnacentral:rRNA from 1 species
CAAGAGCGUAUGUAAAAGUUGUUGCAGUUAAAAAGCUCGUAGUUGAACCUUGGGUUUGGUUGGCCGGUCCGCUUUUUUGCGAGUACUGGAUUCAACCGAGCCUUUCCUUCUGGCUAACCAGUCGUUUCGGCGGCUGGCGAACCGGGAUUUUUACUUUGAGAAAAUUAGAGUGUUCAAAGCAGGCAUUAGCUUGAAUAUAUUAGCAUGGAAUAAUAGAAUAGGACGUUAUGGUUCUAUUUUGUUGGUUUCUAGGACCAUCGUAAUGAUUAAUAGGGACGGUCGGGGGCAUCAGUAUUCAGUUGUCAGAGGUGAAAUUCUUGGAUUUACUGAAGACUAACUACUGCGAAAGCAUUUGCCAAGGACGUUUUCAUUAA